rnacentral:tRNA from 1 species
GCUGAAAUAGUUCAAGGGUAGAAUUCGAGCUUCCCAUGCUCGAGGUCGGGGUUCGAGUCCCCGUUUCAGCA